rnacentral:lncRNA from 1 species
UAUGAGAAAAUCAUCAAGACCAGUUUAAGGGACUGUGUUCACCAUUCCCCUGCAAUACAAUAAAACACCCUCCUGCUUCUUUCCAUAUGCCAUUUAGUGUUCAAAAUAGAUCAACUGACUUUCCUUUACAAACUAAAUCAGACUGUAAGCUUUGUAUUUCUCUUUCAUUCAUCGUGUGCUUUUGAGGCCUCCUCAUGUUCUUGUUAAUAAUUCAGCCUUGGCCUAUUCCAGGUUUAUUGCUCAGAGAGACAGUACCUUUUGCUGAGUUGAGCAUAUGGCUAACAGGAGCUAUGUCAGAUGAGAACACAGAAAGUUCUGAAGCAAACUGGAUUAGGUAAGAAAGUUUUUAAAUGUCAUAAUCUGUGGCACCCUGGAGAAAAACUAAAUUUGUUGUUCUGACUUACUUCCACAAAAUAGACAAAUCCUUGUCUCAUUCUGCUAACAUGUCAUAAUUUGUCUUAGAGAUGUCAGCUGGUAGCCAGGGACUGUUCCUCUGCUUGGAGCUCUAUUUAUUAAUAUUUUUCUUUCUCAUGUAAUGAAAUUAAGCUAUUGAGCUGGCAAAAUAGGUGAUUCCUGAUUUCUCCUUAAUGCCAGAACACUGUGAAAGUUAUGGAGAGCAUGUAGUUAAAUAUAACAGUUACUGACAGUUGUUUCUUUGCAGUGAGGGCUUCCAAUGUUUUUGUAACAGCCCAACUGUACUUGGUAAGUUGCACUAGAGAUGCAAUUCCAUUCACAAACAUUCCCUAAGGGUAGAACUGUCCUUGUGAUUUUGGGCUUUUUCA